rnacentral:rRNA from 1 species
AGAGUUUGAUCCUGGCUCAGAACGAACGCUGGCGGCAGGCUUAACACAUGCAAGUCGAGCGCCCCGCAAGGGGAGCGGCAGACGGGUGAGUAACGCGUGGGAAUCUACCCAUCUCUACGGAAUAACGCAUGGAAACGUGUGCUAAUACCGUAUACGUCCUUCGGGAGAAAGAUUUAUCGGAGAUGGAUGAGCCCGCGUUGGAUUAGCUAGUUGGUGGGGUAAAGGCCUACCAAGGCGACGAUCCAUAGCUGGUCUGAGAGGAUGAUCAGCCACACUGGGACUGAGACACGGCCCAGACUCCUACGGGAGGCAGCAGUGGGGAAUAUUGGACAAUGGGCGCAAGCCUGAUCCAGCCAUGCCGCGUGAGUGAUGAAGGCCCUAGGGUUGUAAAGCUCUUUCACCGGUGAAGAUAAUGACGGUAACCGGAGAAGAAGCCCCGGCUAACUUCGUGCCAGCAGCCGCGGUAAUACGAAGGGGGCUAGCGUUGUUCGGAUUUACUGGGCGUAAAGCGCACGUAGGCGGACUAUUAAGUCAGGGGUGAAAUCCCGGGGCUCAACCCCGGAACUGCCUUUGAUACUGGUAGUCUUGAGUUCGAGAGAGGUGAGUGGAAUUCCGAGUGUAGAGGUGAAAUUCGUAGAUAUUCGGAGGAACACCAGUGGCGAAGGCGGCUCACUGGCUCGAUACUGACGCUGAGGUGCGAAAGCGUGGGGGAGCAAACAGGAUUAGAUACCCUGGUAGUCCACGCCGUAAACUAUGAGAGCUAGCCGUCGGGCAGUAUACUGUUCGGUGGCGCAGCAAAC